GACAUCUGAGGUGAUAACGAAUGGCGGGGAAUCAGGGUUCUUUUCCGGAGAGGGAGCCUGAGAAACGGCUACCACAUCCAAGGAAGGCAGCAGGCGCGCAAAUUACCCAAUCCUAACACAGGGAGGUAGUGACAAGAAAUAUCAAUACCGGGUUCUUUUAGAGCUUGGUAAUUGAAAUGAGUACAAUUUAAACCCCUUAACGAGGAUCAACUGGAGGGCAAGUCUGGUGCCAGCAGCCGCGGUAAUUCCAGCUCCAGUAGCGUAUAUUAAAGUUGUUGCAGUUAAAAAGCUCGUAGUUGGAUUUGUUGCGGCGGUUUUUGGUGGCCUUUGCUUUUGUGUUCUCGGCUUUUUUUUAAGGCUGGGUUGACAGGAGUGGGUCACACGCCGCAAUCCUUGAUGUUUUUGAUUGUUCCUUUAUCGGACUUUCAAGUGACAUCAUCCUUUACUUUGAAAAAAUUGGAGUGAUUCAAGCAGGCGAAAUUAACAUGGCGAAUUUCAAAUUCGUUGAUUUAUUCAUUUUUGCUUCUGCACAUGUUAGCAUGGAAUAAUGCAAGAGGACUUGGGUUUUCUCUUUCAUUGGUUUCAGGAAUCCGAGUAAUGAUUGAUAGGGACAGUUGGGGGUGCUCGUACUCGACGGCCAGAGGUGAAAUUCUUGGAUUCGUUGAAGACGAACAACUGCGAAAGCAUUCACCAAGGAUGUCUUCUUUAAUCAAGAACGAAAGUUGGGGGAUCGAAGAUGAUCAGAUACCGUCGUAGUCCCAACCAUAAACGAUGCCGACCAGGGAUCAGCGAGCGUUGACUUUGCGAUGUUUGAAUUCCCUUCUUGGGAAUUUUGAGCAUUUGCAAACCUCAUUAAUUUGAAACGACCUCGUUGGCACCUUGCGAGAAAUCACCAGUCUUUGGGCUCCGGGGGGAGUAUGGUCGCAAGGCUGAAACUUAAAGGAAUUGACGGAAGGGCACAACCAGCAGUGGAGCCUGCGGUUUAAAUUGACUCAACACGGGAAAACUUACCAGGUCCAGACAUCAUAAGGAUUGACAGAUUGAAGHUCUUUCUUGAUUYKRUGG
rnacentral:rRNA from 2 species